rnacentral:rRNA from 1 species
AACUCUCAACAACGGAUAUCUUGGCUCUCGGAUCGAUGAAGGACGCAGCGAAAUGCGAUACGUAGUGUGAACUGCAGAAAUACGUGAACUAUCGAAUCCCUGAACGUAUACUGCGCCCGAGGCCCCGGUAGAGCAUGUCUGCCUUAGUGCUGGGUU